AGCCAAGAUACUAAAAGUGGGUCAAAUGCGCUGCCAGGAAGCGCUGAGAAUGCAGCUUUCCAGAAAAGGGUGCUGACAUUGCUACAUUCCAUCAGAUAUGAGGUUCAAGAUAUUUCAAGCCAACUAAGUCACAGUCUAUCAAAGUUGAGCAUCCACAAAGAUGUGGACGAGCACGAGAAGCUUUUUGAGGAGCCUAUAAAUAACCUGGACGACUUUGUGGAGUUCGACAACCAGCUGCGAAAUAACAAACAGAAGCAGACCGAAGUGCGUACAUUCCUGGCAAUGUUUGGAGGCCGUGGCACUGCAGACCACGUGGCACGAAUCCUGUCUCGUGUUAUCACGAAUGACCUUGCCACAGAAUUCAGCUGGUUUGGCGC